rnacentral:rRNA from 1 species
CCUACGGGAGGCAGCAGUGAGGAAUAUUGGUCAAUGGACGAGAGUCUGAACCAGCCAAGUAGCGUGAAGGAUGACUGCCCUAUGGGUUGUAAACUUCUUUUAUCAAGGAAUAAAACGAGGCACGUGUGCCUUUCUGCAUGUACUUUAUGAAUAAGGAUUGGCUAACUCCGUGCCAGCAGCCGCGGUAAUACGGAGGAUUCGAGCGUUAUCCGGAUUUAUUGGGUUUAAAGGGAGCGUAGAUGGGUUGUUAAGUCAGUUGUGAAAGUUUGCGGCUCAACCGUAAAAGUGCAAUUGAUACUGGCAGUCUUGAGUACAGUUGAGGUAGGCGGAAUGCGUGGUGUAGCGGUGAAAUGCUUAGAUAUCACGAAGAACCCCGAUUGCGAAGGCAGCUUACUAAACUGCGACUGACAUUGAUGCUCGAAAGUGUGGGUAUCAAACAGGAUUAGAUACCCCGGUAGUC